AAAAUGUCAACAGUGCUACAGGAAAGCGAUCUCAUGCAGCAGAGACGGAGAGCGUUAAAUCCAAGGCCCGUUUCACUACACGGGAGAUUUCCAGACAGCUUCAGCUGACAGAGCUGUGACGAGACGCCCAUUAAGCCCGAAUGAAAAGUAAGGCCGAGCAAAGAAUGCUGACCUUGAUAACUCUGCAUUAACACUGUACAGGACAGUGACGGACCAACACGGAUGAUCGGGCAGCAGAAGAAAGGGCGUGCCAGAGACAGGAGGAGCAACUGAGGUCAAAAGGCACCUCAGAAUGGACAAAACACAGAAGAAGAUGAAGGUUUCACCUGCGGUGAGCAUGGACACUGGAGAAAGGACUGCCCCAAUUGGGGCCAGGACCAGGACAGACUGAACUAUGAGCAGCAGCAGCAAUGGUCGCAACCGGACUGAAAAGGAGGAGGGCAGGACCCCAGGGCACGCUUCAGGCCGUGGUUUACCCAAAACACCAGAACAGGAAGCGAUAAUAGCUGAACAAGCAGGAAGAGGAGAGCUGGACACUUUUAUCUGCGCUCUCUAACAAGAAGAGGGGCUGCGUCCUUCUGAAUCUCACAACACACACGCAUACAUCUGAACCACUCUUAUCUUCACUCCCUACGCACUAACAUUCCUCUGCCUAUGAAUAGACGUAUUCACUGUUGUAUUACUUUUGUAUAUAAAUAAAGACAAGUGCAAGAACAGAGCGCGCAUCACAGGGCCCCCACUCUGGUGUGAGCGUUCUGUGAUCGCCCUUGUAUACAAGUGAAAAACACAGCGUCUGUGUGUGUUUCUACCCUUAGACUCUUAGCUGAAGAAGUGUCUUUAGAAUAAAUCUCUUGACACACUAAAACUAACUGGAUUUGACUCAAUCGUUUCAAGUGCACUGGUAUCAAUUUCAAAUCACAAUUUCUGAUUUUCAGUAUGCCACCUUAAGUCUGCCACACACACACACACGGGGAUCCCC
ensembl:lncRNA